CCGACUGAGACACGGCCUUAACUCCUACGGGAGGCAGCAGUAGGGAAACUUCCACAAUGGACGCAAGUCUGAUGGAGCAACGCCGCGUGAGUGAAGAAGGCUUUCGGGUCGUAAAACUCUGUUGUUGGAGAAGAAUGGUCGGCAGAGUAACUGUUGUCGGCGUGACGGUAUCCAACCAGAAAGCCACGGCUAACUACGUGCCAGCAGCCGCGGUAAUACGUAGGUGGCAAGCGUUAUCCGCAUUUAUUGGGCGUAAAGCGAGCGCAGGUUUUUACGUCUGAUGUGAAAGCCCUCGGCUUAACCGAGGAAGUGCAUCGGAAACUGGGAAACUUGAGUGCAGAAGAGGACAGUGGAACUCCAUGUGUAGCGGUGAAAUGCGUAGAUAUAUGGAAGAACACCAGUGGCGAAGGCGGCUGUCUGGUCUGUAACUGACGCUGAGGCUCGAAAGCAUGGGUAGCGAACAGGAUUAGAUACCCUGGUAGUCCGCCGUAAACGAUGAAUGCUAGGUGUUGGAGGGUUUCCGCCCUUCAGUGCCGCAGCUAACGCAUUAAGCAUUCCGCCUGGGGAGUACGACCGCAAGGUUGAAACUCAAAGGAAUUGACGGGGGCCCGCACAAGCGGUGGAGCAUGUGGUUUAAUUCGAAGCAACGCGAAGAACCUUACCAGGUCUUGACAUCUUUUGAUCACCUGAGAGAUCAGGUUUCCUCGGGGGCAAAAUGACAGGUGGUGCAUGGUUGUCGUCAGCUCGUGUCGUGAGAUGUAGGGUUAAGUCCCGCAACGAGCGCAACCCUUAUGACUAGUUGCCAGCAUUUAGUUGGGCACUCUAGUAAGACUGCCGGUGACAAACCAAAGGUGGGGAUGACGUCAAAUCAUCAUGCCCCUUAUGACCUGGGCUACACACGUGCUAGCAUGGAUGUAACAACGAGUUGCGAGACCGCGAGGUCAAGCUAAUCUCUUAAAGCCAUUCUCAGUUCGGACUGUAGGCUGCAACUCGCCUUCACGAAGUAUCGCUAGUAAUCGCGGAUCACACGCGCGGGGGAAUACCGGGCCUUGUACACACCGCCCGUCACACCAUGAGAGUUUGUAACACCCGAAGCCCGUGGCGUAACCCUUUUAAGGAACGAGCCCUCUAAAGU
rnacentral:rRNA from 2 species